CAGUUGAUUUUAUUAGGAGGACAGAUAUCAGCGGUUCCUGGAGAGGAGAGGACAUAAUGAGUCUGAUCAAUCACUAAGAAAAUGAUCAGUGACCCGCGUCUACCGCAAUGAGGAAGAACGGCUGUGAACAACACGGCGUCGCUUAUCAUUCAUCUUCGAAUGAAGGCAGACGAGCCGAGGAUGACUUGCAUGGACGUCCCUGAGAAAUGGCGCAUGCAGCCUGCACAUGUAGCGUAAACAUCCUCAGAAAAACACAUUGGCCAGUCCAUCAAAUGCGGGAAUUCAUUAGCAGCACAAGUCGUUAACAAGGUUCUGUUGUUUCGCUUCUUUAUGAGGUGUGUUGAUUAAUGUACAGUGAAAUGACGUUGGCUUGUCUAUGUGACUUUUCCCCACACUCACAGUUAUGUCUUGUUCUAUCUCGUUUGUACAUUGUGUAAGUAUCACCAAGAGUAGAAAUUAGAGUCUUGAAUAAUAAAAAGAUAGCCAUACUUUAUUUUUGUCUAAAGAGACAAAAGCUGUGCCGUGUUUCCAUGAGCUGUCCGCAUGUCACAGGACAAGAACAACAGCCUAAUAGCUUUUUUGGGUGGUGGCCCAAAUAUAGAAAUAGACCCAGAUGCUAAAAUAUUAACUUGGAGGCCACCUAAUCUUGGAAAACACAUUUUUGCUUCUAUGACUUAGUGGUGGUAUAGGAUUUAAAAGUGGGAGAUUGCUUUAAAUGGAUGCAGAUGAAGUCCCAAAAUGUGCAUUUGUAAUAUUGUGAUUGCAGACUAACGACCAUCCAUCCAUUUUCUGAACUGAUUAUCCUCGCAAGGGGCACAGGUGAGCUGGAGCUGGCUUUGGCUCGACCAGCUGAUUUUGGGCGAGAAGUAUUGUACAUCCUGGACUGGUCGCAGGCCAAUCGCGGGGCAAAUAGAGACAAACAACCAUUCACAUUCACACUUAUACACACACUUAAAUGGAUGAUUGCUUUUUUUUUUUUAAGUACAUAUACACAACAAAUUGAUAAAUAGCUAGUUGUGAAAUCAGAAGCUGCUUUAAAAGUGAAGACAAUUUGGAAUUUCGGUAUUUUAACAAGAAACAUGAAGUCAACGUACAUGAUUUGUUUUCGCGGGCCACAUAAAACGAUGGGAUAAGCCGGAUCUGGCCCCUGGACCUUGACUUUUGACACUUGUGUCUUAAAUGUAGCUAACAUGAAUGUUAAUGGAAUGUAGGAGGAACCUGGAGUACCUGGACAAACAGGAGCGUCGGGCCCAGAAACAAUCGACUGUGAGGCAGACAUGCUAACCACUAGUGCAACGUGUUGCCCCUACAGACUAACAACCUUCUUCUACAGUGCCAACCAACAUAUCUUUUUAUUGUAAACAAUUUACGAAAUCUAUACAUACGUUGGUGAACAGAUGGAGCCUGAGGAAUGUUUGGUGAGAUAUGCAAAACCUCUGCGUAAACAGUCCAUACCUGGCAUGUGGACCAUCCUGCAGUUGCACACCCGCACAACCUCGUUGGUCUCGCAGAGCAGGCGACAGGCGCUGAUGCUAUACGUGUCGUAUCCGGGGAACUUUUCCUUGCUGCUGGAGCGGCAGUUCCCCCAGGGCUGGGGCAGGUCUGGAAGCCCGGAGAGACGCCAAAGCCCAGCUGGUGAAUGUAGGGAGGCUCAUCCUGACUGUGGAUUUGAACUCGGAUUCCGGCCUCCAGAGACGUCUCAUCUUCAAAAUGGAGCACAGUCACAGCAUGGAAAGUCAGAGGACAAAGCAAAUGGAAUGUCACCAUGUGACACCCCAGAUUCAGAUGCUAAUAAUGAAACAUAUUUUCUCAUGUGUAAAAAAGCACAUGGAAACUACACCUUCAAACAUUUUGGCAAAUAUGCCAGCUGUUUGCAGCAUAGUCAUUUGAUGCCGGUACAGCGGAACCUCAAUUCACGAGCUUAAUUCUAUCCUAGAAUCUGUUUGCAAACUGAAGAAAAGUUAUUAUUGUUAUUAAUAUUUAGUUUUUAAACUGAAUUGUUUCGGGAAAAUGCGUUCUUGAACUGAUGUUCCACUGCAUAAACGAACAGUGACCACUUUUUCGUCAAUUUUUUUCCACUUUCACCUUAGAAUUUGUGGACACACUGAGGCAGAUUACAGGGCAACCGCUCCAGUAAAAUGCUCCUCAUCAUGCCACUGUUAGAAUUCAACAGUGUUAUUGAAGAAUUUAACACAUGAUGCCCCAUGAAAACGUCACAGAUGAUGGCACAUUUUAACACGACACCUGAUUAUAACACUUCUAAUUCCAACAUAUCGGGGAUCGACCUUAGCGAUUUCACUAAACUCUAACUGUAUUUCGAUUAUGUCUCGCGAGUGGAAUUCAAACCAGCUACAAAUCGAAGGGAAGACAAGCAUUGACUUGUGUUUUACUGAACCGUUUACUCAGAUUUGAAAAAAAAGUCAGUUAAAAAAAAAAAAACCCGACAUACACAUUUUGUCAUGGUACUCAAUAGGUUGACAUUAUAGCUUAGUUUUCUCAUCAGAUCACAAACUCUGGCGAGAAAGGGUAAGAGUACAAAAUGACGCACAUGAUUAUUUUAUGUUAAUUCAACCUCCUGAAUU